rnacentral:rRNA from 1 species
UACAGAGACUGCAAGCGUUAUUCGGAUUCACUGGGCGUAAAGGGUGCGCAGGCGGCCGAGUGUGUGAGGCGUGAAAGCCCGGGGCUUAACCCCGGAAGUGCACUGAAUACUGUUUGGCUAGAGGACGAGAGAGGAAAGUGGAAUUCCUGGUGUAGGGGUGAAAUCCGUAGAUAUCAGGAGGAACAUCGGUGGCGAAGGCGACUUUCUGGCUCGUUUCUGACGCUCAGACGCGAAAGCGUGGGGAGCAAACAGG